rnacentral:rRNA from 1 species
AACGCGAAGAACCUUACCUGGGCUCGAAAUGGAGUGGACCGGAGCAGAAACGUUCCUUCCCCGCAAGGGGCCGCUUUAUAGGUGCUGCAUGGCUGUCGUCAGCUCGUGUCGUGAGAUGUUGGGUUAAGUCCCGCAACGAGCGCAACCCUUGUUACCAGUUGCCAUCAUUCAGUUGGGCACUCUGGUGAGACCGCCUCGGAUAACGGGGAGGAAGGCGGGGAUGACGUCAAGUCCUCAUGGCCUUUAUGUCCAGGGCUACACACGUGCUACAAUGGCCGGUACAAACCGUCGCAAACCCGCGAGGGGGAGCUAAUCGGAAAAAGCCGGCCUCAGUUCGGAUUGCAGUCUGCAACUCGACUGCAUGAAGCUGGAAUCGCUAGUAAUCGCGGAUCAGAACGCCGCGGUGAAUACGUUCCCGGGCCUUGUACACACCGAGACGAC